rnacentral:rRNA from 1 species
UCGAGGGGCAGCAUUUUAGUUUGCUUGCAAACUAAAGAUGGCGACCGGCGCACGGGUGAGUAACACGUAUCCAACCUGCCGUCUACUCUUGGACAGCCUUCUGAAAGGAAGAUUAAUACAAGAUGGCAUCAUGAGUCCGCAUGUUCACAUGAUUAAAGGUAUUCCGGUAGACGAUGGGGAUGCGUUCCAUUAGAUAGUAGGCGGGGUAACGGCCCACCUAGUCUUCGAUGGAUAGGGGUUCUGAGAGGAAGGUCCCCCACAUUGGAACUGAGACACGGUCCAAACUCCUACGGGAGGCAGCAGUGAGGAAUAUUGGUCAAUGGGCGAGAGCCUGAACCAGCCAAGUAGCGUGAAGGAUGACUGCCCUAUGGGUUGUAAACUUCUUUUAUAAAGGAAUAAAGUCGGGUAUGGAUACCCGUUUGCAUGUACUUUAUGAAUAAGGAUCGGCUAACUCCGUGCCAGCAGCCGCGGUAAUACGGAGGAUCCGAGCGUUAUCCGGAUUUAUUGGGUUUAAAGGGAGCGUAGAUGGAUGUUUAAGUCAGUUGUGAAAGUUUGCGGCUCAACCGUAAAAUUGCAGUUGAUACUGGAUAUCUUGAGUGCAGUUGAGGCAGGCGGAAUUCGUGGUGUAGCGGUGAAAUGCUUAGAUAUCACGAAGACUCCGAUUGCGAAGGCAGCUCACUAGACUGUCACUGACACUGAUGC